UGGGGGGGGCGGAGAGGGGUAUUUGGGGGUGGAAGUGAAGAUACAGGGGUUUGAGAUGGUCAUACGGGUGGAGUAAAACCAGAGGGGUUGAAUUGGGGUCUGAGAGUCAAGGUAGGGGAGUUACAGAGGGUCAUGUUGGGGACUGAGGGCAGGGAAUGGGGCCUGGUGUAAUAUUGGGGUCUAGGGGUGCAGGGGUUGGGGGGUUAUAGUGGUGCUGAGGGGCAGGGCAUGAAGCGGGGAGAUGAAGGCUUGAGUAGGGCUGAGGUUUCGUUUUACAGGGUAAUUAUAUGUCAUUUUACAGGCUGGAAAGGAGCACGGUGGGCAGCAGGGUGCCAUGAAUAGUGGGGCUGGAGGGAGUAGGGACUGGGUAUGGGGUGCAAAUGGACAAGGAAUGUUCCUUGAGCAUCGUGUAUCAUGGGGUCUGUGGUUGGGGGUUGCUUCCAGAAGAAAUACAGCCCCGACUCAUGGCUGAAGAUCAUUAGGUCUUCUUAGGAAGCCAGCAUUCAUCAGGUGUUCCUGCUGACCACGGAGUGGCUGCUGGAUCUGCACCCCUGCCAAGGUGGCUGAACUGAAGAUCUGUCUGCGUUAUGGUGAGAGCGCUGCCCCUGCCUCUCUAUUUAUUUAUACCUGUGUGGUCUCUUCGGGCUAUAGAAGGUAUUUUUUGCUAAAGUCGAUGGUAAAUGUGAAUAAAUUCCAAUUCUUCAAUUAGA